rnacentral:rRNA from 1 species
UGGGGAAUAUUGCACAAUGGGCGCAAGCCUGAUGCAGCCAUGCCGCGUGUGUGAAGAAGGCCUUCGGGUUGUAAAGCACUUUCAGCGAGGAGGAAGGUGGUGAGCUUAAUACGCUCAUCAAUUGACGUUACUCGCAGAAGAAGCACCGGCUAACUCCGUGCCAGCAGCCGCGGUAAUACGGAGGGUGCAAGCGUUAAUCGGAAUUACUGGGCGUAAAGCGCACGCAGGCGGUUUGUUAAGUCAGAUGUGAAAUCCCCGGGCUCAACCUGGGAACUGCAUUUGAAACUGGCAAGCUAGAGUCUCGUAGAGGGGGGUAGAAUUCCAGGUGUAGCGGUGAAAUGCGUAGAGAUCUGGAGGAAUACCGGUGGCGAAGGCGGCCCCCUGGACGAAGACUGACGCUCAGGUGCGAAAGCGUGGGGCAGCAAACAGGAUUAGAUACCCUGGUAGUCCACGCUGUAAAACGAUGUCGAUUUGGAGGUUGUGCCCUUGAGGCGUGGCUUCCGGAGCUAACGCGUUAAAUCGACCGCCUGGGGAGUACGGCCGCAAGGUUAAAACUCAAAGGAAUUG